CCUUUUUUAAGGUAUCAAGGUGCCGGGAUUGCCGAUACGGCCUUCCCGAGGUUAAAAGGAAAGACGGUGCAAAUCCGUCACAUGCCAGCCGUUGCCGUGAUCGGGGACAAAAACUGCAAUAUGUCACUCUGUUUAAAAGGGGAAGACGCAGUGAUUAGGAUGAUCCGUAAGUCGGAAAGCCUGCCUUAAUACUGAUUUACAG
rnacentral:ncRNA from 2 species